rnacentral:rRNA from 1 species
UACGGAGGGUGCGAGCGUUGUCCGGAAUCACUGGGCGUAAAGGGCGCGUAGGCGGCGCGGAUAGUCGGCGGUGAAAGCCCGGAGCUCAACUCCGGGUCGGCCGUCGAUACUUCCGGGCUUGAGCACUGUAGAGGCAGAUGGAAUUCCGGGUGUAGCGGUGGAAUGCGUAGAGAUCCGGAAGAACACCGGUGGCGAAGGCGGUCUGCUGGGCAGUUGGCUGACGCUGAUGCGCGACAGCGUGGGGAGCAAACGAGGAUUAGAAAACCCCGUGU